rnacentral:lncRNA from 1 species
UUAAAUCGCGUGUGAUGCAAGUUAUCCUGUGAAUGACAACGUGUACUAAGAAAAGAAGUGUGUCUUCAUCUUUAUGUCAAAUCAAACAGUUUCUCAGUAACCUUCAGUGAGUAUUUUUGUACUUUUUAUGUAGGAAAAAAACUUCAAAUCAACAGAAGCUUAGCUGGGGCCUAACACAGUAUAUUUCUGCAGUAACUGCUCUAGGUGGAAUUCUUGAUUUGGCUUAGAUGAUACAGAAAAUCAGUAAUUAGUCGCAGUUGCUUAAACCGUAGCAAUAAAGUGCCAGGGGUCAUCAUAUUUUUAGCAACACAUUUUCUCUGUAACACGAUAAAGCCCAGACGUAGUAACUAUUUGCUUGAAUUAGUCACUUGUCACCAGGAAUGCUAGAGCUCAGUUUUUUAAUAAGAUACUAAUGUGAAAUGGUGCCUCAUUUUUAUUCAGACUUCUUGUGAACAUUUUCACAUAGACACUGCAGAGAGAUACAUUCAAAUGAUUGAGGCUUUUAGCACAAGGGAGAAGGAAAAUUUUAAUCACACCCCAGGGGUUCUGUGCCACUUCUCUACCCCUGUAUCUUACUAGUGGCAGAAUUGACGGUGUCCCUACUCGCUGGCAGCAA